rnacentral:rRNA from 1 species
GAUGAACGCUGGCGGCGUGCCUAACACAUGCAAGUCGAACGGAGAUUACGGACGGAAGUUUUCGGAUGGACGACUGUAAUUCUUAGUGGCGGACGGGUGAGUAACGCGUGGGCAACCUGCCCUCUACAGGGGGAUAGCAGCUGGAAACGGCUGGUAAGACCGCAUAAGUCGGUUAAAUCGCAUGUUUUGAUCGGGAUAUGAGCAAUCAGGUAUAGGAUGGGCCCGCGUCCGAUUAGCCAGUUGGCAGGGUAAAAGCCUACCAAAGCGACGAUCGGUAGCCGGACUGAGAGGUCGGACGGCCACAUUGGGACUGAGACACGGCCCAGACUCCUACGGGAGGCAGCAGUGGGGGAUAUUGCACAAUGGAGGAAAGUCUGAUGCAGCGACGCCGCGUGAGUGAAGAAGUACUUAGGGAUGUAAAGCUCUAUCACCAGGGAAGAUGAUGACGGUACCUGACUAAGAAGCCCCGGCUAACUACGUG